rnacentral:misc_RNA from 1 species
GAUGAAGAACGCAGCGAAAUGCGAUAAGUAAUGUGAAUUGCAGAAUUCAGUGAAUCAUCGAAUCUUUGAACGCACAUUGCGCCCGCCAGUAUUCUGGCGGGCAUGCCUGUUCGAGCGUCAUUUCAACCAUCAAGCCCCAGGCUUGUGUUGGGGACCUGCGGCUGCCGCAGGCCCUGAAAACCAGUGGCGGGCUCGCUGUCACACCGGGCGUAGUAGAUUUUAUCUCGCUCAGGGCGUGCUGCGGGUUCCGGCCGUUAAAAAGUCUUUUUUACCCAAGGUUGACCUCGGAUCAGGUAGGAAGACCCGCUGAACUUAAGCAUAUCAAUAAGCGGAGGA